rnacentral:tRNA from 1 species
GCCAGUGUAGCUCAGGGGUAGAGCAACGGUUUUGUAAACCGUCGGUCGUCGGUUCGAAUCCGGCCACUGGCU